UCAGACGUGACUACCCGCUGAACUUAAGCAUAUCAUUUAGCGGAGGA
rnacentral:rRNA from 2 species